GAUGUUUGUCUGACAUCACUAUGGUGUCAGACAGUCCAAAAUUAAAACUGGCCUCAAAAGUUCUAAAAAUGAAUAAUUCGCGCUCAUCUGAAACAAUUUUUCGAAAAUUUUAAUUUUCUGGCCCACUCGCAAGCUAAGUACUUUACGAUGUGGACUUAGAAAAAUUUGACGCGCGCGGUUUCCCACAUUCAAGCGCUCGGCCACCAGGCGGCAGCAUCGGCAGCACCGACGAUACAGCGAGCUGAGCGAGCCAGAGCCAGAAGUUGCGCGGCCAUGUUUGAUUGUGCGAACGUUUUGUUUUCAACGGAUAGAACAUUUUUAGCGCUUUAAAAAGUGACGGUUAGGUCGUGUGGCGUUCCGAAAUUGCAGCAGCUAACAGACUACAGGACAUCCUUGCCGUUUAGCACCUGGAUUUUGCACCAAGCCGUCACAAAAGGUUAAUUUUGAGACUAGCAUCGUCAUGAGCGGCCCGAGAUCUAAACUGAUGGUGUCAACUUCUCGUCAACCAACACGUCAAUCACACUUCCCGGACCCUUUUCAACCUUCAGAAGGACGAUCGAGGACCAGGGAGCCUGUCUGUGUCCUGUAACUCAGCAUGGACACCUCCGCUUGCCUGAUUACACAUUUUCAACGCAGCCGCUAAGACUGACAACGUGAUGAGCCGCCCGUCAUCGAAAUUGACGCUGUCCGCCUCCCUUGUCAACCACUCAUCACUCGAGAAGCUUGAAUGUCCGGGAUUUUUGAGAUUGAUUCUAACUUAUGGGUAGGGUAAUCAAAUUAUUUAAAUCAGAGCACGCCAACAGAUGUUUUCAAAUAAUAAGAAUAUUUAGAAAAUAUUUUUUUCUUUAUUUUGCAGAGCAAAUUUAACAUUUUUUAAACUUUUUAUUAAAAUGUUGGGA